GGCUGGCCUGAAGGUAUUGAGUUAUCUCAGUUGAUUGUUCACAGUCAGUCACAGAUCAUACUCCUUGUUCUACUCAUUUCUCCCUUCUCACUAUUUGCACUUGACUAGUCUAAA
ensembl:misc_RNA Y_RNA Y RNA